UAGGCGUCAAUUACUCUGGAAAUUCAGCUUCAAUUGGUUGGGAUCAGAUGGAAGGAUGUAAACUAUACUGGAGUUAUACAGUCGUCAAUCUGUAGCUUACCAAGGUCGGUAAUGGAAGGAGCUUGGGGUGUUUCUAAUCACAACAAGGUAACACACACAUUAAUAUUAGAUGGAGUGGUGAUAACAAAUGGGAGAACCACAAAGUGAAGCAAGACUAAGAGGACUAGCAUGUUUGUGUAUCAUUUUUCCUAUUAUCCUUUGAAUUAGAUCGUCUUCCUGCUUUAUUCAUUUAAUAGCUUCAAUCCAUUAUAUCUUGGGCAAGCAAUGUGUUCUGACAUGGUUGUUGCCUUUCAAAGCAUCUUCAUUUUGGAAUCACCAUUCUUACUAUGUUUAUAUACAUUAACAUUUGACCA